rnacentral:rRNA from 1 species
CCUACGGGAGGCAGCAGUGGGGAAUAUUGCACAAUGGGGGAAACCCUGAUGCAGCGACGCCGCGUGAGUGAAGAAGUAUUUCGGUAUGUAAAGCUCUUUCAGCAGGGAAGAAAAUGACGGUACCUGACUAAGAAGCACCGGCUAACUACGUGCCAGCAGCCGCGGUAAUACGUAGGGGCAAGCGUUAUCCGGAUUUACUGGGUGUAAAGGGAGCGUAGACGGUAGAGCAAGUCUGAAGUGAAAGCCCGCGGGUCAAAUGCGGGACUGCCUUGGAAACUGUUCAACUGGAGUGCUGGAGAGGUAAGCGGAAUGCCUGGUGGAGCGGUGAAAUGCGUAGAUAUUAGGAAGAACACCAGUGGCGAAGGCAGCUUACUGGACAGUAACUGACGUUGAGGCUCGAAAGCGUGGGGAGCAAACAGGAUUAGAUACCCGGGUAGUC